GAUGAGCGCUGGCGGCGUGCCUAAUACAUGCAAGUCGAGCGAACGGACGAGAAGCUUGCUUCUCUGAUGUUAGCGGCGGACGGGUGAGUAACACGUGGAUAACCUACCUAUAAGACUGGGAUAACUUCGGGAAACCGGAGCUAAUACCGGAUGAUAUUUUGAACCGCAUGGUUCAAAAGUGAAAGACGGUCUUGCUGUCACUUAUAGAUGGAUCCGCGCUGCAUUAGCUAGUUGGUAAGGUAACGGCUUACCAAGGCAACGAUGCAUAGCCGACCUGAGAGGGUGAUCGGCCACCCUGGAACUGAGACACGGUCCAGACUCCUACGGGAGGCAGCAGUAGGGAAUCUUCCGCAAAGGGCGAAAGCCUGACGGAGCAACGCCGCGUGAGUGAUGAAGGUCUUCGGAUCGUAAAACUCUGUUAUUAGGGAAGAACAUAUGUGUAAGUAACUGUGCACAUCUUGACGGUACCUAAUCAGAAAGCCACGGCUAACUACGUG
rnacentral:rRNA from 1 species